rnacentral:tRNA from 1 species
GCUCAGAUAGCUUAACUGGGAGAGCCCUUUGAGGGUAACCAAAAGAUCCGGGUUCGAUCCCUGGUCCGGGCU